rnacentral:rRNA from 1 species
ACGGGUACUUGUACCUGGUGGGAGCGGCGGACGGGUGAGUAAUGCCUAGGAAUCUGCCUGGUAGUGGGGGAUAACGCUCGGAAACGGACGCUAAUACCGCAUACGUCCUACGGGAUAAAGCAGGGGACCUUCGGGCCUUGCGCUAUCAGAUGAGCCUAGGUCGGAUUAGCUAGUUGGUGAGGUAAUGGCUCACCAAGGCGACGAUCCGUAACUGGUCUGAGAGGAUGAUCAGUCACACUGGAACUGAGACACGGUCCAGACUCCUACGGGAGGCAGCAGUGGGGAAUAUUGGACAAUGGGCGAAASCCUGAUCCAGCCAUGCCGCGUGUGUGAAGAAGGUCUUCGGAUUGUNAAGCACUUUAAGUUGGGAGGAAGGGCAGUAGAUAAUACGUAUCU